rnacentral:rRNA from 1 species
UACGUAGGUGGCAAGCGUUAUCCGGAAUUAUUGGGCGUAAAGCGCGCGUAGGCGGUUUUUUAAGUCUGAUGUGAAAGCCCACGGCUCAACCGUGGAGGGUCAUUGGAAACUGGAAAACUUGAGUGCAGAAGAGGAAAGUGGAAUUCCAUGUGUAGCGGUGAAAUGCGCAGAGAUAUGGAGGAACACCAGUGGCGAAGGCGACUUUCUGGUCUGUAACUGACGCUGAUGUGCGAAAGCGUGGGGAUCAAACAGGAUUAGAUACCCUGGUAGUCCACGCCGUAAACGAUGUCGACUUGGAGGUUGUGCCCUUGAGGCGUGGCUUCCGGAGCUAACGCGUUAAGUCGACCGCCUGGGGAGUACGGCCGCAAGGUUAAAACUC